AGAUCGGGAUAACACCUGGAAACAGAUGCUAAUACCGGAUAACAACAGAUGAUGCCUAUCAACUGUUUAAAAGAUGGUUAUGCUAUCACUCUUGGAUGGACCUGCGGUGCAUUAGCUAGUUGGUAGGGUAACGGCCUACCAAGGCGAUGAUGCAUAGCCGAGUUGAGAGACUGAUCGGCCACAUUGGGACUGAGACACGGCCCAAACUCCUACGGGAGGCAGCAGGA
rnacentral:rRNA from 1 species